UUUUGUGAAUACAGGCUGCAUCCGUCUACUGCAGGGACCAGAAGGGUCUCAGGGAUAUGUGUUCCAUGGAGUAUGUCCCCCACUGCGGGUCUGAUGGUGUCACCUACCCCAACAAAUGCACGUUCUGCAAUGCCUUCCUGAGAAGCCGUGGAGGUCUUGGCUUGAGAUCUCUUAAUGCAUGUUAAGUUCUCGACUGGAUUCAGCUGAGAAAGAACACCCCUCCCUGGCAAUGCUCCCCAUGGCAGAUGACUUCCUAAACCCUCGACCUGACCCUUGAAAACCUCCUAUCAAUCGUGAAACCUCUGAUAAUAAAAAAAAAGACCCAGCA